rnacentral:rRNA from 1 species
UAUCUCUGUAGAGUCUGCAUAUCAAUAAGCGGAGGAAAAGAAACUAACUAGGAUUCCCUCAGUAACGGCGAGUGAAGCGGGAAGAGCUCAAAUUUGAAAUCUUCAAGGUUCUACCUUGACGAAUUGUAGUUUAAAGAAGUGUUUUCUGUUGGAGUUUUGGUAAAAGUUCUUUGGAAUAGGACAUCAUAGAGGGUGAGAAUCCCGUAUUUGACCAUUAUUUCCAGCUUUGUGAUACACUUUCAAAGAGUCGGAUUGUUUGGGAAUGCAGUCCAAAAUGGGUGGUAAAUUUCAUCUAAAGCUAAAUACUGGCGAGAGACCGAUAGCGAACAAGUACCGUGAGGGAAAGAUGAAAAGAACUUUGAAAAGAGAGUUAAACAGUACGUGAAAUUGUCAAAAGGGAAGCGUUUGACACCAGUGUUGUUUUCUCGAAAAUCAAUUAAAAAAGGCAGGAUUUUGUGUUGUAUUGACUUUAUCAGCUUUCUGCACUCUUUUCUUGUCUUUUUUAAUGCACUUUUCGUUUAACAAGUCAACAUCAAUUUCUUUUGUUGUAAAAGGGUCAUUGGAAGGUGGCUUUCUUUUCGGAGAAAGUGUUUAUAGCCUUUGGCCUCUGCAAUCGGAGAGAUUGAGGUCUGCAGCGUAGAUCCUUCGGGGUUAGAUACAUUUGUGCUAAGUUAUAGCCUUUCAUAGACAACUUGUUGACUAUGAUCAGUCAUGUAGCUUACUCGCUUAUGCUAUUUUACCUACGCUUAGGAUGUUGAAGAUGUAGCACAUCAU